rnacentral:rRNA from 1 species
CCUACGGGAGGCUGCAGUGGGGAAUAUUGGACAAUGGGGGGAACCCUGAUCCAGCCAUGCCGCGUGUGUGAAGAAGGCCCUCGGGUUGUAAAGCACUUUCAGUGAGGAAGAACGCCUGGUGGUUAAUACCCAUCAGGAAAGACAUCACUCACAGAAGAAGCACCUGCUAACUCCGUGCCAGCAGCCGCGGUAAUACGGAGGGUGCGAGCGUUAAUCGGAAUUACUGGGCGUAAAGCGCGCGUAGGUGGCUUGAUAAGCCGGUUGUGAAAGCCCCGGGCUCAACCUGGGAACGGCAUCCGGAACUGUCAAGCUAGAGUGCAGGAGAGGAAGGUAGAAUUCCCGGUGUAGCGGUGAAAUGCGUAGAGAUCGGGAGGAAUACCAGUGGCGAAGGCGGCCUUCUGGACUGACACUGACACUGAGGUGCGAAAGCGUGGGUAGCAAACAGGAUUAGAUACCCCGGUAGUA